GAUGAACGCUAGCGACAGGCUUAACACAUGCAAGUCGAGGGGCAGCGAGGGAGUGCUUGCACUUCUGUCGGCGACCGGCGCACGGGUGAGUAACACGUAUGCAACCUGCCCUUGUCAGGGGGAUAAGCGAGGGAAACCUCGUCUAAUACCGCAUAUAUGGUUUUGAGGCAUCUCUUAAUCAGGAAAGAAUUAUCGGACAAGGAUGGGCAUGCGGGACAUUAGGUAGUUGGGGGGUGUAACGGACCACCAAGCCGACGAUGUCUAGGGGUUCUGAGAGGAAGGUCCCCCACACUGGUACUGAGACACGGACCAGACUCCUACGGGAGGCAGCAGUGAGGAAUAUUGGUCAAUGGUCGAAGGACUGAACCAGCCAUGCCGCGUGAAGGUGACGGCCCUAUGGGUCUUAAACUUCUUUUGUAAGGGAGCAAUAAGGUCUACGUGUAGGCCGAUGAGAGUACCUUACGAAUAAGCAUCGGCUAACUCCGUGCCAGCAGCCG
rnacentral:rRNA from 1 species